UGCCUGCUGCAGUCGUGGUCGGCAUUGUAAAGUGUUUACUGCUUACUAACAUUUUCUUCUCCACUACCCGGGUGCUGUGCACUUCGGUGGCUUUUGGACUGUACGAGCGGUGGUUGUUUUCUCUUCCACGGCCCUACCUGUGAUACGACCCCCCCACGCGUCCCUUCAGCGAUGUGUGGGACAACAUCAUCCCCCCUCCAGCCGUAGGUGGCCGUAGUGGCGGUAAGUCCGCCGUGUUCCGUUUCGCGUCGACGGGUCGUCCGUGUCCCCCUGGCCCCUGGCCCGUUUCGCAAGUUCCGUUACCCAUUAUCCAUCGUCUACCGAGUUCUUCGGGUUUCGCUGUCUGAAUUUCGAGUGCGGCCGUCUGAGGUUUUCCGUAAUCGCUUCGUUGUCAUGGACUCGGCAAACCGAUCGCGGGGAGUGCGCGCGCCCGUCGCGUUUGGCCGUUCGCGUCGUCUGCCGUCCGGCCACUGUGACCACCGGCGGAGUUCGUUGGCCGCCGGAGGGUCUGGUGGACAUCGAGGGUUCGUACCGUCGACUUGCCGGCACCCACCGAAUGAAAAUGUGGACGCCGUAUAAAUGGCUUUGGCUUCAACGUUACUGUCCGAUUUGGCGUCUAAUUAGUCGUAAGUCCAAAUUUGGUAACAUAUGAGGUAAGUGGAUGAAUGUUGAUUAUAGUUCUAAAAAAAAGUGCCAGUGGUUCAAUAUAAAUAUUUUUGAAAUUUAUUUCCCCCGUAUUAAAUAUGCUACUGAUAGUUAAGGUUACUUAACUGGUUAUUUAGGAAAAUAGGAAAAUGAUCAAGUACCUAAUCCCAAUAUCCAUUUUGAAUAGCUAAUUUAUUGUUAUAAAUCUUGUUAAUGUACCCAUUGUAUGAUUUUAAACCUGGCUGUUAAAAUUCAUGAUUUUGUGUUAAGUAUUGGGGAUUUUAAUUAGGUUAUUUUUAUUAAAUAUUUUAAAUUAAAUUAGGUAGUAAACAUAAUGUUUAUUCUAUUGUAGUUCAUUUGUAGUUAAGAUUUUUAUAAAAAUUUCUAUUUUACUAUAUUUAAUUGAAUACAAUUAUAUUUAUAUAGUGCACUACAGUGUUCAAACAACACAUAACAUUGAAUAAAUAUUUAGUUUUAAGAUAAAAAUCAGAGAAUCCUUUAUUUUUUGUCCCUUUGAAAAUUAUGAAGAAAUAUUGGUAAGUCUUGCUUUGCUUAAUAUGUUAAGUAUAAUUAAUUAUACUAAAUAUUUUAAAUGGUUGGUAGGUACAUUGAUAUCUAUUGAAGUGUAAGAUGUAAUGUUAUUGGUGCAUCUUAUUUGUCAGUUUUUGAUUUACCAAGUAAGAGUUAUGUAUAGGAUUUUUUUUUGCUUUUAUACGCUUUCAGUUGUAGCUGGCUGUAAAUCAA